CUGAGAAGGCUCUCCGACUCUGGGAGACACGUUGAGAUAUCAACAGACAACUCAACAAGGGCAGAGAUUUUAAAUCAAUAAGGUGAAACAAAGCAUAUAUAGGAUUUUAUUUUGUUGCGACUUACAAUUCGACGAGAAGGGCAUAGAUGAGAACGGAUCCCACGAUGCCUAGGGUUCACGAUCUGAAAAAGUGUGCCCAAUCCGAGUAGAAGAUGAUGAGUGGUUGAUCGAGUAACGAGCGGCAGAUACUGAAAUGAUUUUGGUUAGAGAGGAGAACUUGCGGUAGAGGAAGACCAACGAGAGAGAAAGUGUUAGAGAGGAGAGAGAGGACCGGAGAGGCUAAGAUGAUUUGGGGGGAAAAUGGGAGUGAAGAUACUGAAAUGAUUUGGGGAGAAAAAUGGGAGGGAUUUUGUCUAAAAGAACUUCUAUACCGACGGCCAGACGAUGACUCUCGGCACAAGCUAUCUACAGAGGCAUUUACCGACGGUUCCG
rnacentral:lncRNA from 1 species